rnacentral:rRNA from 1 species
CGACGUGGAUAACCUGCCUCACACAGGGGGAUAACAGUUAGAAAUGACUGCUAAUACCGCAUAAGCGCACGGCAUCGCAUGAUGCAGUGCGAAAAACUCCGGUGGUGUGAGAUGGAUCCGCGUCUGAUUAGGUAGUUGGUGGGGUAACGGCCCACCAAGCCGACGAUCAGUAGCCGACCUGAGAGGGUGACCGGCCACAUUGGGACUGAGACACGGCCCAA